CAGCAGCCGCCACGGGAAAACGGAGGGUGCAAGCGUUAUCCGGAUUUAUUGGGUUUAAAGGGUCCGUAGGCGGAUCUGUAAGUCAGUGGUGAAAUCUCACAGCUUAACUGUGAAACUGCCAUUGAUACUGCAGGUCUUGAGUAAAUUUGAAGUGGCUGGAAUAAGUAGUGUAGCGGUGAAAUGCAUAGAUAUUACUUAGAACACCAAUUGCGAAGGCAGGUCACUAAGAUUUAACUGACGCUGAUGGACGAAAGCGUGGGGAGCGAACAGGAUUAGAUACCCGAGUAGUCCCUGUCUCUUAUAC
rnacentral:rRNA from 1 species